GACGAACGCUGGCGGCGUGCCUAACACAUGCAAGUCGAACGGAGAUACGAUUUCGGUUGUAUCUUAGUGGCGAACGGGUGAGUAACGCGUGAACAACCUGACUCUUAGAGGGGGAUAACACUCGGAAACGGGUGCUAAUACCGCAUAAGACCACGACCCGGCAUCGGGAUGAGGUCAAAGGAGCAAUCCGCUGAGAGAGGGGUUCGCGUCCCAUUAGAUAGAUGGCGGGGUAACGGCCCACCAUGUCAACGAUGGGUAGCCGAGCUGAGAGGCUGAUCGGCCACACUGGAACUGAGACACGGUCCAGACUCCUACGGGAGGCAGCAGUGGGGAAUAUUGGGCAAUGGGCGCAAGCCUGACCCAGCAACGCCGCGUGAGGGAAGAAGGCUUUCGGGUUGUAAACCUCUGUCCUUGGUGACGAAAAAAGUGACGGUAGCCAAGGAGGAAGCCCCGGCUAACUACGUGCCAGCAGCCGCCGUAA
rnacentral:rRNA from 1 species